GCUGAGGUAGCCAAGGCGGUCACGGCGGGGCUCUGAAAAAGCUCAGAUGUCAGUUCGAUUCUGACCCUCAGCA
rnacentral:tRNA from 1 species